rnacentral:rRNA from 1 species
GAGAUCGGGAUAACACCUGGAAACAGAUGCUAAUACCGGAUAACAACAGAUGAUGCCUAUCAACUGUUUAAAAGAUGGUUCUGCUAUCACUCUUGGAUGGACCUGCGGUGCAUUAGCUAGUUGGUAGGGUAACAGCCUACCAAGGCGAUGAUGCAUAGCCGAGUUGAGAGACUGAUCGGCCACAUUGGGACUGAGACACGGCCCAAACUCCUACGGGAGGCAGCAGGU